GAUGAAUGCUGGCGGCGUGCCUAAUACAUGCAAGUCGAGCGGUAACAGGAGUAGUUUACUACUUGCUGACGAGCGGCGAACGGCUGAGUAACGCGUGGGAACGUGCCCCAAAGUGAGGGAUAAGCACCGGAAACGGUGUCUAAUACCGCAUAUGAUCUUCGGAUUAAAGGAUUUAUCCGCUUUGGGAGCGGCCCGCGUAUGAUUAGUUUGUUGGUGAGGUAAUGGCUCACCAAGACUACGAUCAUUAGCUGGUCUGAGAGGAUGAUCAGCCAGACUGGAACUGAGACACGGUCCAGACUCCUACGGGAGGCAGCAGUGGGGAAUAUUGGACAAUGGGCGAAAGCCUGAUCCAGCAACGCCGCGUGAGGGAUGACGGCCUCGGUUGUAA
rnacentral:rRNA from 1 species